GGGCUCACUGCAGCAGCACAUAUGCUACAACUGGAACGAUACAGAGAAGAUUAGCGUGGCCUCUCUGCAAGGACGACACACAAAUUCAUGAAGUGUUUCAUAUUUUC
ensembl:snRNA U6 U6 spliceosomal RNA